GCCCCGCGCGCCGGUGGACGUUCCUCCGGCGCAACAGCUGCGUGGGUCGAAGCCACAGCAGGGACAGAUGGCUUUUCUGAGUCCUCCGUGGAGAGAAGACACAUCUGUGGUUGCCCCGAAGUUCUUGGUGAAGGACUUGAAAGUGAACAGGAGACCUGGCAGGUACUCACCACAGCAUCUAGAAUGUGGCUGGAAUUGGCUGGCAAGGAGUUGUUUAGUUUCUUUUAUUGCAGAUAAUGGCACCAGGUGACAGACAGGCCAGGUGAUUCCAGAGCCCCAUUGGCUCACUUCCUGUGUCCCUCUGGAGGAUAUUGGGGAUUGAGAGUGGAAGUGUUAGCCAGGUGGGUAGGCACAGAGUGUGUUAUCCACAGGCGAGGACACAGGUGAUUGUUGUUUCUGCUGCCGGCUUUUACGCCUUCCCUCGGUCCCUCAUUGCCAUGGUGUCUGCUGUCUUCUGCUUGCACAGGCUCUCAAGAUGACUGCUUAGUAUUUGCAGGGUGCUCAUUAUCCAUUUACUGAGAACAGGCAGAGAGGGACACUGGGGACAGCAAUUGCUGAGGGUUGUGGCAGAGCCAACAGCAAAAGGCAGCCACUGUCUGGGUAUAUCACAGCUGUGUGGUUACUUUGCUGUUAGCCCCAGCUGCCAGCUGACUCCAGAGAGUGUGCCUCUUCUUCAAGGUAGCCGCAGGCAGUACAUUAGGGACCUAAGCUGCCUGUGCAUUUUCAGAUGGCCAAGUGGGCUGUUUUACUCAACAAGACUGGCCAGGCCAUCCACCCCAAGGACUGUCACCACUGCAUCUCAAGGGCCAAGCAGUGAAACAGACCCAGGCAUCACAGCAAGUUCUUGUCUCUCCUGCGGCAUGGUUUGCUGUCUAACGUUACAUCAGGGCUUGUUAACCCCAGUAUAUCCUUGAGUGCUUAGGGGCACAUUACUUUUCAGCUUACCAAUACUAAGCCAAAUGCUAAGAAUGGAGAACCAGGAGGCCCCAGCCACUUUGAGGCUGGGGCAUACAUAGUUCCUGGUUCCCAUGCUGUCCCUGGGUGACUGGAGGGUGUCAGGUGCUGAACUACACUGGAGAAAAGUGGGUUUUCUUUCUACCCAGACCCAUGUGUCCCCACUUGGAGCUCUUCCAAGAAGACCUUACCUAUGGCAGGAGAA
rnacentral:sRNA from 1 species